rnacentral:rRNA from 1 species
UACGUAGGGCGCAAGCGUUAUCCGGAAUUAUUGGGCGUAAAGCGCGUGUAGGCGGCCUAGCAAGUCGGGUGUGAAAGCCCUCAGCUUAACUGAGGAAGUGCGCCCGAAACUACGUGGCUUGAGUACCAGAGAGGGUGGCAGAAUUCCGGUGUAGAGGUGAAAUUCGUAGAUAUCGGGAGGAAUACCAGUGGCGAAGGCGGCCACCUGGAUGGAUACUGACGCUGAGACGCGAAAGCGUGGGAGCAACAGG